GGCUCUUUGUUAAAUAAAAAUAAAGAGUCGAACCUGCCCAGUGAUAAAUUCAACGGCCGCGGUACCCUGACCGUGCAAAGGUAGCAUAAUCAUUUGCCUUUUAAUUAAGGGCUAGUAUGAAGGGUUUGACGAAAACAAAACUGUCUCUUAUUUAUUAUUUAAAAAUUAAUUUUGAUGUGAAGAAGCAUUAAUAUAUCUAAAAGACAAGAAGACCCUAUUGAGCUUUAAUAGAAGUUUAAGUAAAUUUAUAAUUUAAAAAUUUAUUUUUUACUAUAUUUUAGUUGGGGCGACUAAGGAACAUAAGAGCUUCCUUUUUAAUUUUAAAGACUUAUUGUUAGAUCCAAUUUUAUUGAUUAGAAAAAUUAGUUACCAUAGGGAUAACAGCGUAAUUUUUUUUGAGAGUUCAUAUCGAUAAAAAAGAUUGCGACCUCGAUGUUGGAUUGAGAUUUCCAAUGGGUGCAGAAACUCUUUUGGUUGGUCUGUUCGACCAUUAAAAUCUUACA
rnacentral:rRNA from 1 species